CUGUGUGUGAGAAAUACAAAUACCAGCCCGAGAUCUGCAUUUCAGAUUUGUUGCACACUCCCUGCUGUAGUCAAAAUCCCGAUGGAUUUCUUAUUUCUUGCCUUGUUUUCUUUCUGUAGAUCGAUGGCAGUGAAGCAGAAUGAGAACUAGUUCUGUUUUCUGGCGCAACUUUGAUGGCGAGACGGUGUUGUUUGUGGAUAAACCUCAGCCUGUAUCUUCAGGAAAGAGGCAGUCUUCCUGAUCCAUGUAUUGUUUCGGAUUCUCAGACUCAAGCGAUCACAGUUUUUUUGUACGGUAACUAAUCAGCUGGCUACCUUUUCUUCAACGUCUUUCAUUUACUUGACAAUCGAGUAGAACAGGGCCUGUUCUAAGUAGUGUACGUGCUCAACAUUCCGAAGAUUUUGACACUUUUUAUGCAGUGGCGCUUCUGUCACUGAUGGACAUUACAGCGAGGAGGCGAAAUGUUCGGUGCAGUUGAGUGGCGUUCUCUGAGAGGAGAGAAAGUGUUAACUGCAGCUACCUUAGGGAGCUAUUCUUAAAUGUAAUGAGCUCAUAACUUCUUUCAAGUUUGUUCGAUUAUACAUUCGUAAGUUUUGUACUUCUGCGUCGAGAAAGGAACCCUUAGAGGCGACUAAUUGAAGCUGAAAUGAAGACUUGUCAGGCUGGUUUUAAGAUUGGCCUGUCACCUACUUUGAUCAUUAGGCCGUGCGGUUGUUUUUCAGUAUUUUCUCUGUUGUUCUUUCUUUUUCAGGUUUUACAUUCUGUUCAUGAAAUCAUCCCGCCAGACAGUUCCUGCUCAGAGUGUAGUGGUAAUGACCAAAGGUGUGUUGAGGGUUGUGCGCCUAAUCUUGUUUAUUUGUUUAUUUGAUUUUUCUGAUUCUUCCAGCAGCUGAGAAGUUUUGGUAUUCAGAUGAGGACAUUGAGGUAGUGAAAACGUCAAGUGGACAGUCUAAAACUAUUACUUUGCUUAGACACUGAAAAAAGAAAUUCAUUCAAUUUACAAAGAAAUUGUAUACCGAAUUACUUAAUUUAACAAACAUCAAGACGUUUUUGAUGAA